rnacentral:rRNA from 1 species
UACGUAGGGUGCAAGCGUUGUCCGGAAUUAUUGGGCGUAAAAGAGCUUGUAGGUGGUUUUGUCGCGUCUGCUGUGAAAAAUCCGAGGCUCAACCUCGGACUUGCAGUGGGUACGGGCAGACUAGAGUGUGGUAGGGGGAGACUGGAAUUCCCGGUGUAGCGGUGGAAUGCGCAGAUAUCAGGAGGAACACCGAUGGCGAAGGCAGGUCUCUGGGCCAUUACUGACACUGAGAAGCGAAAGCAUGGGGAGCGAACAGG